GCCUGGGUGACUCAGUCGAUUAAGUAUCUGACUUCAGCUUAGGUCAUGAUCUUGCAGUUCGUGGGUUCAAGCCCCACAUCAGGCU
rnacentral:tRNA from 1 species